ACGCCCAGCGCACGCGCAGUGUCAUAUGCAUGCGAAGCCGCGGGGCUCGAAUUAUUCAAGUGGGUGGUCCUAUCGCUGACGUGUGGGGGAGGGGUAGAUGUGUAGAUGGCAGUGUCACCAUGGUCAAACACUGCUACCAGUGCAUGUAGAUUGUAGACCAGUUGUAGUGUGAAACCAGUUCUCUGGGUAAGUGUCUACCCGGUUUCUUCCUCGCCCUGAGCCACAGGAACAUCAUGGAUCACAGAUGGAGGUGACAGGAUUGAUGAAGUCAGGACGUAACAAGACAGUGCACUGACAUGUAAUAAUGAACAUCAUGUCUGGAGAAAGCUCUCGAUACCUGUCUCAUGCAAAGAAUGGCAAGGACCAGCUUGAGUUAGAAGAACAAGAGAAGCAUGCAGACAUGAAGUGUGGUGAUGUAUGUAUUCAUGUAACUUCCAAAUGCAAGUGGGAAAUCAAGUGACUCCACCUGCUUGGAUUUGGCUGUGAUCCUGAACACUGUUUCUGCAUUGUGUCAUCUGUACCUGGGAAUGUGGGAUUUCCAUCUCAUCCUCAUCCUCCAGUUCUUCUUCCUCCUCAUUCUCUUCAUCUAAGGAACAACUCAAAAUGCCAAGAAGUAUUGUUGAUGGGAGGGUUACUGAUGAUGCAGUGUCCAUGAGGUUGAAUUCAUGUGGGGAAAGUAGUGGAAAACAAGAGUCAGUACCAUAUGGAUCCAUUGAUGUGUAUAGCCUAGAAUGCACCAUUGCUUUGAGUACAGUGAAGCUACCAACCUCGAGACAAAUCCAUAAAAUUCUCCAAGGGAGGCUUGUUUGACAAUAGAUGAGACAAUAUACUGUACAAGAGUGUCUCACACUCAUCCAGCUGAGGUUGGGAAAUAACUAGAUGACUUGACUCAAGAACCCCUGUUAAUUACUAGACUCUGCUUCACUUCAGAAAGGUUCUGUAUAUAGAUGCCAGAUGUCUGUGUAGUUGGCUCUGGACAACAACAGUGGGUCAUCAGUGAUCUUCCCUUGAGGCAACAAAUUACUCAAAAUUUAAAGAGUGGUGCCUGAGAACAAAUCUCAUGAAGUUCCGGUCGCACAGCCCAGCAGGACACCACAGGCCCCUUACUGAAUGGAGGAGAAUCCAGCUCGGUGAGAGAUACAACCACGCUGCCAAUCUCCACAGCUCCAACUGGAAGAAACCGUCCCUGCAAGGAAUGAUGCUGCAUUAACAAGCUCCAGACUGGAGAUGGGCGGAACCUACCACAGCGGACUCAGAUAGGUGAGAGUGUGGAGAGCCACAAACAGCAGACUACCUUCAUCAUGGAUUGCUGCAUCCAAUGCCUGGAAGGAGGCUAAGACUACCUUAAGAAAACUAACUCUUGUAGCAAAGACCUGGCAUAGGACAGAUACCUUUCCCAGCCAGGAAAACCACACACCAUAAGAAAAACAUUUAUCUGGGCCAUCCGUUUCUGUGUGUAGCAACUCAAUCUAAUUUCUAUCCAUUUACAUUCAUGUACUCCUGGGCAGAGUGAGGCAAAUUGUGAUCAUGGAACACGAGCACUGUCGCAUCCCAUCGCAUAGCAGAACCACUUGACUACGGUAGUGCAAAGUGGGCCUUAAUCAUGCAUAUUGACAUUUACGUCAGUGUGACAUGGAUGAGUCAUUCUAAGGGAGUGCAUUUUGAAAAUGCAUUGAACCAGGAAGAAAUGAUAUUGGGAAAUAAAAGGUAGAUGCAGUAAGUAAACCAUACCUUUCAUGAAUUUAAGGGAUGCGUGUGUCAUGCUUGUCCAAUGUGUUCUAUACGAAGAUACACUCUCCAUUGUAGGUAACCAUGCAAGAGCUCUAUCGCAAAACUUUUAAAAGAGUUAAUAUUUACGGGAAGAUUUUUCAUUUCAAAUUUAAAGAUAGUACUCCGAGGUGGUAUUUAUAUAAAACAAAGAUGGACAAGGUUUUGCAUUUACCAAACAACGGUGCAGAAUGCUCUGUGGAUCUCGAGUUAUUGAUUACUCUUAAUGUUGACUUUUGCAUAAUACACAAUAGGUAAUGGUACAAAUAGGAGGGGUUAGUGUUAUCCCAAGCUACAAAAUACAAUAUUGAAGGUGUGGCAUGGACAAGGUAUAUAAAUUAAGAAUAAGAUAUCGGUCAUGUUUAAGUGUUCUUAAUUUUUUGCCUUGGUUCCGAGAAAGUGACAUGAGGACUUUUUGCCAAUGUUGCUUCCAAGAAAGUUUGUUAUCACUAAUUACACCUAAAUAUUUACAGGUAUCAACUUGUUCUAUCUGUGUAUUAUUCAAGUAAACAGUGAUAUUCCUAGUAACUUUACAAUUAGCAAACAACAUACAUUUGGUUUUAUUGAAGUUAAUGGAUAAAUAAGCACAUUCAAGCCACUCGAAGAUUUUGCAUAGUUUCCGAUUAAUAGUGUGAAUUGCCUUAGGUAAGUACUUACUGCAAUGGAAAACAUUAGUGUCAUCCGCAAAUUAAAUAAAGGAGAGUAUACUCGACGAGUUACAGAUAUCAUAUUUGUAAAUCAGAAAAAGUAUAGUACCAAGUAUUGAGCAAUGAGGGACGUCACGUCUGAUUGGUGCAAAUGAAGAGUUGAUGUUCUACCAUACAACAUACUGUUUCCUGUCGCUUACGUAAUUUUUGAACCAUUCUAGAGCAACUCUAAUUCCAUAUUUAUUUAGUUUACUAAUCAGUUUCUUUAUGAUCUUUUGUGUCAGAAGUCUUUGACAGAUCCAAAAAUAACCCAGUCGUAUAAAGACAGUUGUCGAGUGAUGAACUUAUUUUUAUCAAGGUCGAUCAGUGCAAGUUGAGUUGAGUAGCUGGCUCUAAAUCCGUAUUGUGUUAAAUGUUACAUUAUCAAUUAAGUUGUACGUUCGAAUUGCUACCAGUCUUUCUGGUAAUUUAGAGAAACACAGUAAAAUAGAAAUAGGGCAGUAGUUGCUCAUAAGAGAUGGGUCACUAGUUUUGUAUAUCGGGAUAACAUUAGUUGUUUUUAAAUCAUCAGGUACUUCACCAGCAUCAAAAGAGCGGUUGAAGAUUGUUGCCAGAGGACAGGUUUUUCAACUAUCCAAUAGCCGAAGUGCAGUUUGUCGACAAAGAAGUAUUUGUAGAAAAUAACUCUGGGACAAAUGUAUGUUGUCAUAACUGCGGAGGAGAGAUCCUUGAGCUAACUAACCAAAUCAGUCAUUCCAAAAGAUGACAAUCCACGUGUUCAUACAUACAGUGCUUUCAAGGUUCCUUAAACUACUCUGAUACUUCCAAAGAUAGAAAUUACUAACUAUACAAUCAACUACGGUAUGAGAAUUUAAGUAGAACCUCGAAUACACAACUAGUUGGACACUGGAAAAACAUGUUAAGUAUUGACGGGCGGAUUUACUCUAUUUGCAGCUUGGCCAAUAACUGUCAAUGAACAAUGCUCCAAAGUAAAUUGUGUGAACAUCCUCCCCAAAAGAGAAAAAAACAAAGAAACGAACACAGACUUCGGCACUGCACUGGUUUAUUUAUUUCCGUUAUAAAUCUUUUCAGUUUUCUUGUAUUAAUUGACUGUGUGAAACAAAACUGUAUGUACAUGUAAAUAUAAUGUACAAGUAAAUAUAAAUAAAAAUGUAAACACUCGUUUUAUUUAUUUAAGCCAUUAAGUAUGUACAUACACUUGUAGAAUGUAAAACUUUUACUGCUUAUAGUUAGUUACUCAAAAAAACGUAUUUUAUUUCUUCCGUUAAAUUAAUGUACACGUGCAAAUAGUA